rnacentral:rRNA from 1 species
UACGUAGGGGGCAAGCGUUGUCCGGAGUUACUGGGCGUAAGGCGCACGCAGGCGGUCUUUUAAGUUUGGAGUGACAGUUGGUGGCUUAACUGCCAAAGUGCUUCGAAAACUGAGAGACUUGAGGGCUUCAGAGGGACACGGAAUUCCGGGUGGAGUGGUGAAAUGCGUAGAGAUCCGGAGGAACACCAAAGGCGAAGGCAGUGUCCUGGGGAGUACCUGACGCUCAGGUGCGAAAGCCAGGGGAGCGAACGGG